CUACGGGCGGCAGCAGUGAGGAAUAUUGCACAAUGGGGGGAACCCCGAUGCAGCAACGCCGCGUGGAGGAUGACGCAUUUCGGUGUGUAAACUCCUUUUAUAUGUCAAGAAAAUGACGGUAGCAUAUGAAUAAGCACCGGCUAACUCCGUGCCAGCAGCCGCGGUAAUACGGAGGGGUGCAAGCGUUACUCGGAAUCACUGGGCGUAAAGGACGCGUAGGCGGGCUUGUAAGUCAGGUGUGAAAUCCUACAGCUUAACUGUAGAACUGCACUUGAAACUACGAGCCUAGAGUAUGGGAGGGGCAGAUGGAAUUAGUGGUGUAGGGGUAAAAUCCGUAGAUAUCACUAGGAAUACCUAAAGCGAAGGCGAUCUGCUGGAACAUAACUGACGCUAAGGCGUGAAAGCGUGGGGAGCAAACAGGAUUAGAUACCCCCGUAGUC
rnacentral:rRNA from 1 species